UACAGAGACGUCGAGCGUUGUUCGGAUUCAUUGGGCGUAAAGGGUGCGUAGGCGGUGAGGUAAGUUGGAUGUGAAAUCUCAGGGCCUAACCCUGAAAGUGCAUCCAAAACUGCCUUGCUUGAGGACUGGAGGGGAGACUGGAAUUCUCGGUGUAGCAGUGAAAUGCGUAGAUAUCGAGAGGAACACCAGUGGCGAAGGCGAGUCCCUGGACAACACCUGACACUGAGGCACGAAAGCUAGGGGAGCAAACAGG
rnacentral:rRNA from 1 species